ensembl:lncRNA
AUGGAGUUUUCUAAAUGUACAAUCAUGUCAUCUGUAAAUAGAGACAACUUGACUUCCUCUCUUCCGAUUUUGUUCCCCUCCCUUUGUCCAUGUGUUCUCAUUGUUCAACUCCAACUUAUGAGUGAGAGCAUGUGGUGUUUGGUUUUCUGUUCUUGCAUUAGUUUACUGAGAAUGAUGGUUUCUAGCUUCAUCCAUGUUCAUCCAAAGGACAUGAACUCAUCCUUUUGUAUGGCUGCAUAGUAUUCCAUGGAAUAUAUGUGUCACAUUUUCUUUAUCCAGUCUAUCAUUGAUGGGCAUUUGGGUUGGUUCCAAGUUUUUGCUAUUGUGAACAGUGCUGCAAUACACAUACGUGUGCAUGUGUCUUUAUAAUAGAAUGAUUUAUAAUCCUUUGGGUAUGUACCCAGUAAUGGGAUUGCUAGGGAAAAUGGUAUUUCUAGUUCUAGAUCCUUGAGGAAUUGCUAUACUGUCUUCUACAAUGGUUGAACUAAUUUAUACUCCCACCAACACUGUAAAAGCAUUCCUAUUUCUCUACAUCCUCUCCAUUAUUGGUUGUUUCUUGACUUUUUAAUGAAUGCCAUUCUAACUGGUGUAAGAUGGUAUCUUAUUAUGGUUUUGAUUUGCAUUUCUCUAAUGACCAGUGAUGAUGAGCUUUUUGUCAUAUGUUUUUUGGCCACAUAAAUCUCCUUUUGAGAAGUAUCUGUUCAUAUCCUUCACCUACUUUUUGAUGGGGUUUUUUCUUAUAAAUUUGUUUGAGUUCUUUGUAGAUUCUGGUUAUUAGCCCUUUGUAAGAUGGGUAGACUGCAAAAAUGUCCUCCUGUUCUGUACGUUGCCUGUUGACUCAGAUGAUAGUUUCUUUUGCUGUGCAGAAGCUCUUUAGUUUAAUUAGAUCCCAUUUGUCUAUUUUGGCUUUUGUUGCUAUUGCUUUUGGUGUUUGAGUCAUGAAGUCUUUGCCCAUGCCUAUGUCCUCAACGGUGUUGCCUAGGUUUUCUUCAAGAGUUUUUAAGGUUUUAGGUCUUAUAUUUAAAUCUUUAAUCCAUCUGGAGUUAAUUUUUGUAUAAGGUAUAAGGAAGCGAUCCAGUUUCAGCUUUCUACAUAUGGCUAGCUAGUUUCCCCAACACCAUUUAUUAAAUAGGGAAUCCUUUCCCCAUUGCUUGUUUUGGUCAGGUUUGUAAAAUCUCAAUAAUAGCAGGACAACUAUCCAGUGAAAACAUGGGCAAAAGAUUUGAAUGGACACUUUUACUAAAGAGAUAAACACAAGGCAGAUAAGCACAUGAAAAGAUGUUCAAAAUCAUAUUAAUCAGGGAAUGCAAUGUAAUACCAUUCUCUGUGUAUGAGAUACCACCAUAUAGCUAUUAGAAUGUCUAAAAUUUAAAAAUACUAUACAACAUAUUGAGGGGAUAUGGAGCAAUUAGAACUCUCAUAGGCUGCUGUGGGAAGGUAAAGUGGGAUUUCAUGUGCUGAAACUUCCUGGCAGUUAUUAAAAAUGUUAAACAUUUCGCCAACCUUACAAAACAGCAAUUCCACUGUUAGAUGUUUACUUAAGAGAAAUUAAAGCAUGUAUCAAUGCAAAGACUUGCAAAUGAAGGUUCACAGCUGCUUAUUUGUAAUGCCAAAAAAUGAAAACAAUCAAAAUCACCACUGAUAGGGAAUUUAUCCAUAAAAUGUUAAUUAGUAAAAAAAAGGGAGUGAACUAUUGAGAUAUGCAAAAACAUGGAUGAAUAUUAAAAUAAUUAUGCUGAAUAAAAGAAUACAAAAAAAGAAUAUGUGCUGUGUGUUACUGGUUGCACGGAAUCUUCCUGAAAGAUAUAUUUAAGUCCUAACCUGUAAACAUGAUUUUAUUUAGAAGUAAGGCCUUUACAGAUGUCAUUAGUUGAAACAAUCCCCCUUGAUAUAUACAGAGGAGCCGCAGGGUUUUGAGAAUGUUAUGCCACUGAAAACAUUGCCAGCUUGAACCAAACGGACAGAGAUGGGAUGAAAUGAUGGAGGGAUGUCAGAGUUGUGGGAUUUUACAGGUAGGAAACAGGCCUAUAAAGCCACUUGCCUGCAAAUGUGUUACUCUUCAAGAAAAGGGAAGAAUGCUUCUGAGGAUGGCUCAGAAGUUGGCAGGACUAACAGGGCUCUGUAGCUAGAGAGGGCAGGGUUAACAGUGGGCACAGAGGGCGGAGGAUCAAGCCAGGAAAGGUAAUUUUCAUGCAUUGAAACCUACUGUAAUUUGCCUCACUGGGUUUGACUCCUUUUAAUCUCUUGCUUUUUGAAUGGAAAUGUCUAUCCUGCGCCUGUCCCAUUGUUGUGUUUUCGAAGCAGAUAACUUGUUCUCUAGUUCCACAGGUUCACAAAGGAAGACUAAUUUUUUCUCAGAAUGGGCCACACCCAGAAUCUCACCAUAUCUGAUUUAGAUAAUUUAGAAGAUGAGAACUGUGACUUCUUCAGUUAAUAUUUAGAUGAGAUUAUGGACUUAGAGUCGAUGCUGAAAUAGUAUAAGACUUUCGGAAAUGUUGGGAUAGGGUGAAUAUAUCUUGCUGUUGAGAGUAAUAUGCAUUUUGAGGGGCCAGAGGGCAGAAUAUUGUGGAUUAAAUUGUGUCUUCCCUCAAUAUGUUGAAGUCAAAGUCCCAACCUCUUUACCUAUGAGUAUGACUUUGUUUGGAGGUUUUGAAGGUGUAAUAAAGUCAUACUGGAUUACCCAAUGACUGAUGUCCUUAUAAAAAGACAGACAGACAGAGAACACAUUUAAAGACAUCAAGGAGACACAGGGAAGAAGUGAAUGUGAAGACAGAGGCAGAGAUUGGAGUUACGCUGCUACAAGCCAGGCAGUGUCAAAGACUAUCAGAAUCCAUCAGAAGCUAGAACAGGCAAGAAGGAAGUCUUCCUUAGAACCUUUGGAAAGAGACUGGUCUUGUUGACACUUUGAUUUCAGAAUUCUAGCCCUUAGAACUGUAAGUGAACACAUUUCCAUUGUUUCAAGCCACCUUGCCUAUUGUAAUUUGCUGUGACAGCCCCAGGAAACUAAUGCAAAAUAGGAUUCCAUUAAUAUAAAAUUCUAGAAAAUGCAAAUGAAUAUCUAGUGACAAAUUAGAUCAGUGGCUUGCUGGAAAUUAGGGUGAGUUGUUGGAGAUGGGAGGAAGGCAGAAAGGAUUACAAAGGGACUCUAGACAACUUUUGGGGGUGAUGGGGUGAUGGAUAUAUUCAUUGUCUUGAUUGUGGAUGAUGAUUUUCUGGUAUAUAAAUACAAUAAAACUUAGAAAAGUGUACAUUUUCAAUGUGUGCAUUUAUUGUAUGUCAAUUAUACCCCAAGAAAGCUAUUAACGAAGUCAUUUCUGGAGAGUAGAAUUUGGUUUGGAAUAGAAUUAAGUGAGGCUGCUGAAAUAAUUACAUAGAAUCUACUUUCCUCCUUUUAUAGGUGUUACUCUUUUUUUGAGAAUUAGAGAAAACAUUACACUUCAUUAAAUUCCUGGAAAUUAGCUCUUGAGUGGCCUCAAAAGGCAUAACAUUAAUCUCCUUCAGACCAGUUUACCAUUGUCAGCCUUGAUACCUUUAUCCCAACAUUUUGUUUUAGGUUCGGUUCUAUUCUCUCUCUGUCAAGCUAAGUAAUUGGAAGUCCAUUCAGAAUUGUAUUGGCAUUAUUUGUUUCACUUUUUCUGAGAAAUAUUUUCCAGUGUAUGAUUAUAUUUAGUUAUAAUUUAGUAGAAAUUUUGUCCUAACCAACGUCUGCAUAAUGAUAGCUGUUUUACUCUUCUAAAGGGCAGAUGAAGUCCCUAGUUUUCUAUUAAGGAAAGGUAGGAGGUGGGGGGAUAAAAGUUUAUUCUUUGAUACAGGUCUGAGAGUGCUGGAUCACAUAUAUUCAUUAGUAACUUUUGUAAAAAUCCAUUGUGAUUUGAUGACUUAUGAUUAAUGAAACGAAGGCGAAAAGGGGAAUUAAAGCUUUUGCAGUACUUCAUAUUGUUGAAUGCUUUUUACUUAAAAUUUUUAAUGAUGGAAUUUUCCCUAUUUCUAUUUCUCUGGCUGUUCAUUUCUAGCUCCUUUUUGUGCCCUUUCUUUUGUUUGGUUUUCUUUUAAAGAUUCCUCUUUACUUUCUCUUUGGAUGACCUCAUCCAAAUUAGUAGUUUCAAGCAGUCCAGUCUCUGUUGCCACUCACAUUUAGACAGAGCUUCACAUUUGUAUGCUCUGAUGCCCAAAAUGUGCUUCCAUUGCACAUCUACCUCCAUGUAGUGAGAUGUACCCCAUCUUCCUACUGACCACUCCAUAAACCUAAACAUCUUCUAUCUUUUUGCUUCUCCUUUCUGUGCAGAAAAUGCUUUCCAAGUCUUUUACCUUGUUCUACUUUAAUAUCACUUAUAUUUCUCCCUUUCUUUCUUAAUUUAAAUGUUUUAG